AGUACAAUUGCUGGGUCAAAUGGUAACUCUAUGUUUAAUUUUCAAGCAACUAUCAGACUGUUUUCCAAAGUGACUGAGCCAUUUUACAUUCCUACCAGCAGU
rnacentral:pre_miRNA from 1 species